rnacentral:lncRNA from 1 species
UUUGUCUCAAAAAAAUACCAAAAACCAAAAACAACAAAAACAAAAAACAUCAAAAGACUAUGAGAAACAGUGAUUGGAUGUUUGGGGUGUGGAUAUCGGAAUCUGGAGCUGGGGACAGGUGUGUCAUUUGAUAGUCCCUUUUGAGAACCACUGUUGAUCUAAAGCUAUUCCAGUUCCCUAGGGGAUUGCUAAUAACCGGUGCAGCUGCUGAGACAGGGAAAGGGGCCUAAUUCCUUUUGCAAAACAAGGAGCAAUAUUUAUAUGAGAACUCAGUACAUUUCAUCACAUAAAAAUUGCAAAACGCCAGGCUCUGUCAUUUUUAAACUAAUAUUUUUGGGAGUCCACCAAACAGUCUCUAAGAUGGAACUGAUUGUGAAUAUGCUGGUGCCAGGUGCAAUGGCUCACACCUGUAAUCCCAGCUACUUGGGAGGCUGAGGUGGGAGGAUCACCUGAAGCCAGGAGUUCGAGGCCAGCCUGGGCCUCUCUAAAAAAAAAAAAGCUGUAAGUCAAAUGAUAUAGCCUCUAGAAGCCACAGUUUGCUCAUUUACAAACUGGAGGAGAAUAAGAUGAGAAUUGUCUGAUAUUGAGGAUCAGAAAGUGCUUCAUGAUGCAUAAAGCAGGUAAUGGAUUAUCAAUGCUUUGCUGCUCAGACACACAGCAAUGGGUUCAUACCAUUCUGAGAGUCUAAAUUUAGGACGUGGUGUGACCAAAAUUACCAGUAAUUAAGUUUCUUAUGUUUCUGAGGCUCUGCUUCCUCAUCUGUACACUGUGGCAAGACCUUGUUCUGACUAUGCACUGAGGAUAAAAUAAGGCCUUUUGAAAAAGAUGAUGACACUGACCACUAAUUAAUGAUUUCAAUGUUCCCGUCCAAGGUCAGGCAAAAGCAAUGCAGAGCCAUAGAGAAUGUUGGUGCAACACUGCCCUCUGCUGGUCAGUAGCAGCACCACCAUGGUUACAGAGAGGAAAAGGUCUUUACAAAGGGAUUCCUGGGAAACUGAGGCAGAGAGUGGAAGGGAUUUGCUCAAGGGCACAGAGUUAGCUUUGGACAAAGUGAUGGCUCGAAUCUGAGAUUCCUAAUUCCUAGUUCUUUCUAGAGGGAGAAAAAUAAGGGCUGGAAACUAGUGGAUUGUCGUUUCACUCUCACUAGGCUCUGCACGGCAUUUUAAAUAGGCUGAUUGGAAUUUCUCUCUCCUGUUCUUCCCUUGCCACCCAAACUGCUCGGGUUUCUUGUCCUUUUCUUCAUACCAGGAUAACCAUCUGUGUGGCCCCAUAAGGCCCAAAGUCCUCUUGGGUGCUGCCGGAGGUCCAACAACCAGUAAAGCACGGAAGCUGGGAUCUGAACACUCACUUGAGACCCCAAGGCCCACAAUCUAUUUGCCACCAAAAAACAAGACAAAGCAAAACACCAUGACAGGAAAACCGAGUUGCAGACAAAUGAAAGUGACUUACCUCAGGGCCUUUGCAUGUGACAUCCUCUCUGCCUGGAAUGCUCUUCUCAGAUAUCACCUUGGCAUCCCCCAUCACCUUCUUAAGGUCUUCACUUAAAAGUCAUCAUCUGGCCGGGCGCGGUGGCUCACCCUGUAAUCUCAGCACUUUGGGUAGGCCAAGGACUGGAUCCUGGACCUGCCCCUGGGACUUGCGGAAGGGGACAGCUCAAUCUGAGCCAUAUCAACUGAGAACACAGGAAGCAUGGUCCUACCAAGAGAUGUCUAUUCCAGGUAUGGUGGAGCCUCAGAGGACAGCAUGACUCUCGUUCAGCUGGUGGAUCAGGGAAUGGUCCAAUAAGCCACAGCUGUGGAUAUGAAGGUCUGUUGAUUUCAGAUUGAGCUAUAGGGGGAUACUGGGCAUGGCAGAAAAAUCUAUCAAUCUCUGCUAUAGUUAAAUAUUUGAAUAUUGGAUUGUUUGCAGAUCUUGUGAAAUCAGUGACCUCUGGGUCAUGUAGAAACCCAGCACAUUCCCACAGGACACAGCCUAGCAGUUGAUCAGAGCAGUAGUUCAUACCUGAGACCCUGGAUUUUCAGACCCUCCCCCAGGCCCCACCAGCCUCUGUCAGUGCCAAGCUGGACGGAACAAACCACAUGAGGUUGGUCAGGCCUCUACCCCAUGGAAAAACACAGAAUGGUGAUUUUUUGCCUGUACAUUCCUGGACAAAUAAAUUCUCUUUUGGGAGCUUUUUCCUGGCUGGGCUAUGUUAUAUGCCUCAGAGCUGCCCAGAUCCCCUGGAAACCCAAAGAUUUCCUUCCAUGUGUAGGACUCAUUCAGCCCCAGCUCAGAGGACUGUUUCAUGGGUACUGGUGGCAGGAAUUCUUGGUUGUCUUCAAUGUCUGGCUCCCUGAUUUUCGGUAGGGAACAUGGUCAGCAGAAUGAGGAUGGCAUUUCCUACCUUCUACUGCAGGUGGGCAGAACCAAGGUGCCCUCCCUACACCUUCCUGGGGCCUCCAGCGAUCCUGAGCUCAGCCUCCUGACCUGCAGACCCCUCAGCUCUGGCCCUCACGUCCUGCUUGCUGUACCUGCUUUAUCCCAUAUCACCAUCUCCAUUCCUCAGCAUAGUGACAAUCCCAGUUCCUACCCAUUCCACUGGCUUCUCCAUUUGGCUUGGAGCUCUUUAGCUGGAUUGAGACGACUACUCUGAUGAGUGCCAUGUCACUGGCUCAACAAAAUGGGCCCAAGUGAGUCAAUGUCAUUGACAUGAAGGUGCUGUCAGUUUGGUGGGAACCAAGGGAAUGAGACUGUGUUUUAGCUGCGUUCGUUUGAACAGUUACACACUUAGGGCUUCUUAUGCGGAUGCUCAGAGAGAAAUAUGGAAGACGAGAUCUCGUAGAAAACAAGAAGACAUGUUGUAAAUGAGUCAGGCCUCCUGGAGUCCAGGACUAGGGAGGAACUCUUUAUUGAGGAUCACUCGAGGGAGUCUUGGGGCUGGUGGUCUUCACGCCACAGCCCCAUAACUCAGCUCCUCUCUUCCUUCUCUCAGUCUCUCUGCUUCUGUUUUUUGUCUCAUGUCCUAAAUGUCCAACUAUUCAGCAUAACUUUAUUCUGCUUCCCCUCUCUAUCCUCUGUAGCAAAAUGCACUGUUGGAAUUACAUUUUUAUUUUUAUUUUUAUUUUUAUUUUUUUAAGACGGA